GUUAUAGUGGCAGAGCCCGGUAUAUUGCUAAAGAUCUAAGCUCUUUCAACAGGGGUUCAAGUCCCCUCCAUAACU
rnacentral:tRNA from 1 species